AUACGGAGGGUGCAAGCGUUGUUCGGAAUUACUGGGCGUAAAGCGCGCGUAGGCGGUUUGUUAUGUCAGAUGUGAAAGUCCACGGCUCAACCGUGGAAGUGCAUUUGAAACUGGCAAACUUGAGUACUGGAGGGGGUGGUGGAAUUCCCGGUGUAGAGGUGAAAUUCGUAGAUAUCGGGAGGAAUACCGGUGGCGAAGGCGACCACCUGGCCAGAUACUGACGCUGAGGUGCGAAAGCGUGGGGAGCAAACAGGAUUAGAUACCCCAGUAGUCC
rnacentral:rRNA from 1 species